rnacentral:rRNA from 1 species
UACGUGAGUGGCAAGCGUUAUCCGGAAUUACUGGGCGUAAAGCGUCCGCAGGGGGCAUGGUAAGUGCACUGUUAAAUCUACUGGCUCAACUGGUAGGCCGCAGUGUAUACUGCCACGCUCGAGGAAUGUAGAGGUGAGUGGAAUUUCCGGAGUAGGAGUAAUAUCCGUAGAUACCGGAAGGAACACCAAUAGCGAAGGCAGCUCACUGGACAUCUCCUGACCCUCAGGGACGAAAGCGUGGGGAGCGAAC